rnacentral:rRNA from 1 species
GAGCACGACCACACUUGAGUGAAACCACCAUAUCCCGUCCGAUCUGUGAAGUUAAGCCCUCACAGGCUCGGUCAGUGAUGA